rnacentral:rRNA from 1 species
GAUGAACGCUGGCGGCGUGCCUAAUACAUGCAAGUCGAGCGAACAGACGAGGAGCUUGCUCCUCUGACGUUAGCGGCGGACGGGUGAGUAACACGUGGAUAACCUACCUAUAAGACUGGGAUAACUUCGGGAAACCGGAGCUAAUACCGGAUAAUAUAUUGAACCGCAUGGUUCAAUAGUGAAAGACGGUUUUGCUGUCACUUAUAGAUGGAUCCGCGCCGCAUUAGCUAGUUGGUAAGGUAACGGCUUACCAAGGCAACGAUGCGUAGCCGACCUGAGAGGGUGAUCAGCCACACUGGAACUGAGACACGGUCCAGACUCCUACGGGAGGCAGCAGUAGGGAAUAUUCCGCAAUGGGCGAAAGCCUGACGGAGCCACGCCGCGUGAGUGAUGAAGGUCUUCGGAUCGUAAAACUCUGUUAUUAGGGAAGAAAAACUGUGUAAGUAACUAUGCACGUCUUGACGGUACCUAAUCAGAAAGCCACGGCUAACUACGUG